UUGAACGCUGGCGGAAUGCUUUACACAUGCAAGUCGAGCGGCAGCGCGGGGCAACCUGGCGGCGAGCGGCGAACGGGUGAGUAAUGCAUCGGAACAUGUCCAUGUCGUGGGGAUAGCCCGGCGAAAGCCGGAUUAAUACCGCAUACGUCCGAGAGGAGAAAGUGGGGGACCGCAAGGCCUCACGCGAUUGGGUUGGCCGAUGUCCGAUUAGCUAGUUGGCGGGGUAAAGGCCCACCAAGGCGAUGAUCGGUAGCUGGUCUGGGAGGAUGAUCAGCCACACUGGGACUGAGACACGGCCCAGACUCCUACGGGAGGCAGCAGUGGGGAAUUUUGGACAAUGGGGGAAACCCUGAUCCAGCCAUUCCGCGUGAGUGAAGAAGGCCUUCGGGUUGUAAAGCUCUUUUGUCCGGAACGAAACGGCUAGCGUGAACAUCGCUGGCUACUGACGGUACCGGAAGAAUAAGCACCGGCUAACUACGUGCCAGCAGCCGCGGUAAUACGUAGGGUGCGAGCGUUAAUCGGAAUUACUGGGCGUAAAGCGUGCGCAGGCGGUUUUGUAAGCCAGAUGUGAAAUCCCCGGGCUUAACCUGGGAAUGGCAUUUGGGACUGCAAGGCUUGAGUGCGGCAGAGGAGACUGGAAUUCCUGGUGUAGCAGUGAAAUGCGUAGAUAUCAGGAGGAACACCGAUGGCGAAGGCAGGUCUCUGGGCUGACACUGACGCUCAUGCACGAAAGCGUGGGGAGCAAACAGGAUUAGAUACCCUGGUAGUCCACGCCCUAAACGAUGUCGACUGGUUGUUGGGGGUUUGACACUCUCAGUAACGAAGCUAACGCGUGAAGUCGACCGCCUGGGGAGUACGGCCGCAAGGUUAAAACUCAAAGGAAUUGACGGGGACCCGCACAAGCGGUGGAUUAUGUGGAUUAAUUCGAUGCAACGCGAAAAACCUUACCUACCCUUGACAUGUCCGGAAGCCUGCUGAGAGGCGGGGGUGCCCGAAAGGGAACCGGAACACAGGUGCUGCAUGGCUGUCGUCAGCUCGUGUCGUGAGAUGUUGGGUUAAGUCCGCAACGAGCGCAACCCUUGUCAUUAGUUGCUACAUUCAGUUGGGCACUCUAAUGAGACUGCCGGUGACAACCGGAGGAAGGUGGGGAUGACGUCAAGUCCUCAUGGCCCUUAUGGGUAGGGCUUCACACGUAAUACAAUGGCGCGUACAGAGGGCUGCUAAGCCGCAAGGUAGAGCCAAUCCCUUAAAGCGCGUCGUAGUCCGGAUUGCAGUCUGCAACUCGACUGCAUGAGGUCGGAAUCGCUAGUAAUCGCGGAUCAGCAUGUCGCGGUGAAUACGUUCCCGGGUCUUGUACACACCGCCCGUCACACCAUGGGAGUGGGUUUCACCAGAAGCCGGUCGCCUAACCGCAAGGAGGGCGCCGACCACGGUGAGAUUCAUGACUGGGGUG
rnacentral:rRNA from 1 species